UACGUAGGGGGCUAGCGUUGUCCGGAAUCAUUGGGCGUAAAGCGCGUGUAGGCGGUCCGGUAAGUCCGCUGUGAAAGUCGGGGGCUCAACCCUCGGAUGCCGGUGGAUACUGUCGGGCUUGAGUACGGAAGAGGCGAGUGGAAUUCCUGGUGUAGCGGUGGAAUGCGCAGAUAUCAGGAGGAACACCAACGGCGAAGGCAGCUCGCUGGGACGGUACUGACACUGAGGCGCGAAAGCGUGGGGAGCGAACAGG
rnacentral:rRNA from 1 species